UAUCGAUAGUGCAAGCUUUCUCUGUCUAACGGCUGGAAUUUUGUAGAAUGAUGCUGUGAACCAAAAAUGAAUGAAUCUCUCGUUUUUAUUGUUGAAAUUUGAAUUUUAUCAUAUUCUAAGUAAAUAAAUGUUCAACGGCCGACGCCAAUCAAUCAAUUUUUUUGGAGGGAGAUGACAUUACAGUGACAACUUCCACAGCAUAUAUUACUUUAAUGUGUUGCUAUCGAUAGCCUUGCUCACCGUUUGAUGAGCAUUUUCCUUUUGCAAAAGUUUCAAACGUUAAUUAGUAGUGCUUGACUUGGACCGAAAUGGGUUCCGGAACGGUUUAUAUUUAGGCCUACAGUAAACUCUUGAGGGAGACCUGUGACAGUGGACCAUGCCCCAGACAACGAGUAACCCCCCAGGCUUGUGCAUUGGUGCCAAAACCAUUCCAGAGAGAAAGCAGAUAUAUUCAUGCAAUGGUAUACUGGACCCUUCUCCAGGGCGUAGGUACAAGCAGGUCUAUCCUUUCAGGUAUAGGUGGAAAUGGAGGAAGAAGUCAAAAAAACAAACGCCACCAGCCCCACCUCUGCCAUCAUAUGAGGAAGAAAAUUGGGAGGAGGAGAUAGGAAGCUUUGAGACAUAUGGAUUUGCUCCAUAUGGCCCAGAGGAUGUGGAUAGAGUGGCCCUACAGGGGUUGACCCUGAACCAGACUCCCUGCCCUCCCCACCCCCAGACAGCAACCGAC